AGCAGCCGCGGUAAUUCCAGCUCCAAUAGCGUAUAUUAAAGUUGUUGCAGUUAAAAAGCUCGUAGUUGAAUUUCGGGGUUAGUAAGUUGGUCGUGCCACUGGUAUGUACUGCCCUACUGGCCCCACCUUCUUGUAGAACCGUGAUGCCAUUAAUUUGGUGUUGCGGGGGAAACAGGACUGUUACUUUGAAAAAAUUAGAGUGUUUAAAGCAGGCUAACGCUUGAAUACAUUAGCAUGGAAUAAUGAAAUAGGACGUUGACCCUAUUUUGUUGGUUUCUAGGAUUGACGUAAUGAUUAAUAGGGAUAGUUGGGGGCAUUAGUAUUCAAUUGUCAGAGGUGAAAUUCUUGGAUUUAUUGAAGACUAACUACUGCGAAAGCAUUUGCCAAGGAUGUUUUCAUUAAUCAAGAACGAAAGUUAGGGGAUCGAAGACGAUCAGAUACCGUCGUAGU
rnacentral:rRNA from 1 species